GGGGUUUCUGGGCUUCGCUCUACACCCUUUGUGAACAUACCUAUAACUGUUGCUUCGGCGGGCAGGGUCUCCGUGACCCUCCCGGCCUCCCGCCCCCGGGCGGGUCGGCGCCCGCCGGAGGAUAACCAAACUCUGAUUUAACGACGUUUCUUCUGAGUGGUACAAGCAAAUAAUCAAAACUUUUAACAACGGAUCUCUUGGUUCUGGCAUCGAUGAAGAACGCAGCGAAAUGCGAUAAGUAAUGUGAAUUGCAGAAUUCAGUGAAUCAUCGAAUCUUUGAACGCACAUUGCGCCCGCCAGCAUUCUGGCGGGCAUGCCUGUUCGAGCGUCAUUUCAACCCUCAAGCUCUGCUUGGUGUUGGGGCCCUACAGCUGAUGUAGGCCCUCAAAGGUAGUGGCGGACCCUCCCGGAGCCUCCUUUGCGUAGUAACUUUACGUCUCGCACUGGGAUCCGGAGGGACUCUUGCCGUAAAACCCCCAAUUUUCCAAAGGUUGACCUCGGAUCAGGUAGGAAUACCCGCUGAACUUAAGCAUAUCAAUAAGCCGGAGGAA
rnacentral:rRNA from 1 species